UUUUAAGUGAAGAGUUUGAUCCUGGCUCAGAGUGAACGCUGGCGGCAGGCCUAACACAUGCAAGUCGAACGGCAGCACAGUAAGAGCUUGCUCUU
rnacentral:rRNA from 1 species